rnacentral:rRNA from 1 species
UACGUAGGGGGCAAGCGUUGUCCGGAAUCAUUGGGCGUAAAGCGCGUGUAGGCGGUUCGGUAAGUCUGCUGUGAAAGUCCAGGGCUCAACCCUGGGAUGCCGGGUGGAUACUGUCGGACUAGAGUACGGAAGAGGCGAGUGGAAUUCCCGGUGUAGCGGUGAAAUGCGCAGAUAUCGGGGAGGAACACCAAUUGCGAAGGCAGCUCGCUGGGACGUUACUGACGCUGAGACGCGAAAGCGUGGGGAGCAAACAGG